GCCAUGUUGGUAGCGGUGCGGGGCCGGGUCGCGGCACCCCGGCUGCUUCUUACAAAGGGCAGGUGGCAGGUAUUUUGGGCUUUGGGGGCCCAAGAGGAAAAGGGAAGAUACCAGGUUGGUACUUACAGAAGUUUCCACAAAAUGUUUACUGAUGAAAUCAAAUUCUAACCAAUAGCUCCACAACCAACAUGGAGCCCAACACGGGGCUCAAACCCAUGACCCCAACCAAGAUCAAGACCUGAGCUGAGAUCAAGAGUCAGAUGCUCAACUAACCUGAGCCACAUAGGCACCCCCAUGAUGACUCUUUUAAGCAUGGAGGAAAGACACGUAUGCUGUUAAACAACAGACAACUUAUUUAUACUUAAGAAGAGGAGGAAUGACUAUACACUAAAUAUAUGUGCAUGAGAAAAAUAAAAUUAAAUCACUAACCGUGAGUUUCUGAAUUUUUCCUGAUAGAGAAGA